GUAGUAUUCCCUUCGUCCAAAAAUUCUUGUCUUUCAUUUGUUUAGAUACGGAUGUAUCUAACACUAAAAUGUAACUAGAUACAUCCAUAUUUAGACAAAUUUAAGACAAGAAUUUUGGGAUGGAGGGAGUACAAA
rnacentral:pre_miRNA from 1 species